CGGGCGGAUCCCGGAGAGGGGGAGCCGCGGGGACGCAGCGACAGACUCGGGGUGCUGGCAGCGGCAGCCCACGCCUCCCAGGGAUUGCAGGCCUGGGCGCCGGGGUUGGACCAGUCUCCCGGGCAUGGCACGCCCUGGUUAUUCUGUACCCGUGAUUUGUGGCGGGGCAAGACGUUAAGUUGGGUGACACCGAGGUGAGCCACGGUCCUCGGCACCAGAUGAGGAACCACUGUCUCAAUAAGGUCUCAGUGCUGUGUGUGUAAUGGUUACCGUGAGAGCUUCCCUGCAAUCCGAAUUUGUGUGUCUCAUUCUCAGUGACACCAGUGAUGCUGUUAAACAAGGACAAUCCGGUUCAUGGAUUGUGACAACGCACGCUGACAUCAAGCAGACCCUGCCGUCAGGUACAGAGGGCACCACAGUGACCAGGAACUGCUGUCCUUUCAUACCAGGUUUUAGGAGGCUUUACCAGAAGGAAUGGAAAAUGCUGGUGGGCAGUAAGAUUGAAACAGCAUCUGAGGACUGGUUCUGCACAAAACCUUAAAUUCUUCAAGGACUUUGACAUUUGUUUAUUCUUGUAACAAAUUAAAACCUAUCCUGUGUGUUGGUUAGAGAUCUUCAAACUGUAAAUACCUUGAGGCAGGAGUGAGGUUUUUAUCUUUUAAAGGACAGGCCCCUACUCUCCUACGUAAUGAGUUUCUAAAAAUGGAUGUGAGCACCAAUCAAUAUUUCUCUGGUUGUUAAAGUCAAGAAUAAAAUGGUAUUUUUAAGCUCGCAACUGUGUAGGAUGAAUUCUGUACACUUUUAUUUCCCUCUGUUCUCCUUUCCUAUUUGAAAGUUUAUUAGUUUGUGGACUUGGGAUCGGAUUAUUCAUGCAUUAUUUUUUGAUGUUGUAUGUCUCUUGGUUCUUGGGUAUUUUUGACACAUAUUCUGUCUUGUAACCAUAGUUAAACAAUUGUUUUAGACCAACUCUCUGUGUGUAAUUGGCUUCAACACUCACUGCUAGUCCUUUGACGCUCUGUUUUUUUCCAUUCUUGAGUAAUUUUAAGUCAUCACUUGGGCAGUUGAAAUAUAUUUUAAAGUGAUUUAAAGAAUAUGUGAGUGGCAGACAUUCUGAACUCUUUUGGUUGUCUGUCCUCAAAAACUAAAACUUAUUUGUGAGUAAAAUU
rnacentral:lncRNA from 1 species